GCUCAGAUUGAACGCUGGCGGCAGGCCUAACACAUGCAAGUCGAAUGGUAGCACAGAGAGCUUGCUCUCGGGUGACGAGUGGCGGACGGGUGAGUAAUGUCUGGGAAACUGCCUGAUGGAGGGGGAUAACUACUGGAAACGGUAGCUAAUACCGCAUAACGUCGCAAGACCAAAGAGGGGGACCUUCGGGCCUCUUGCCAUCAGAUGUGCCCAGAUGGGAUUAGCUAGUAGGUGGGGUAACGGCUCACCUAGGCGACGAUCCCUAGCUGGUCUGAGAGGAUGACCAGCCACACUGGAACUGAGACACGGUCCAGACUCCUACGGGAGGCAGCAGUGGGGAAUAUUGCACAAUGGGCGCAAGCCUGAUGCAGCCAUGCCGCGUGUAUGAAGAAGGCCUUCGGGUUGUAAAGUACUUUCAGCGGGGAGGAAGGUGUUGUGGUUAAUAACCUCAGCAAUUGACGUUACCCGCAGAAGAAGCACCGGCUAACUCCGUGCCAGCAGCCGCGGUAAUACGGAGGGUGCAAGCGUUAAUCGGAAUUACUGGGCGUAAAGCGCACGCAGGCGGUCUGUCAAGUCGGAUGUGAAAUCCCCGGGCUCAACCUGGGAACUGCAUUCGAAACUGGCAGGCUAGAGUCUUGUAGAGGGGGGUAGAAUUCCAGGUGUAGCGGUGAAAUGCGUAGAGAUCUGGAGGAAUACCGGUGGCGAAGGCGGCCCCCUGGACAAAGACUGACGCUCAGGUGCGAAAAGCGUGGGGAGCAAACAGGAUUAGAUACCCCUGGUAGUCCACGCCGUAAACGAUGUCGAUUUGGAGGUUGUGCCCUUGAGGCGUGGCUUCCGGAGCUAACGCGUUAAAUCGACCGCCUGGGGAGUACGGCCGCAAGGUUAAAACUCAAAUGAAUUGACGGGGGCCCGCACAAGCGGUGGAGCAUGUGGUUUAAUUCGAUGCAACGCGAAGAACCUUACCUGGUCUUGACAUCCACAGAACUUUGCAGAGAUGGAUUGGUGCCUUCGGGAACUCUGAGACAGGUGCUGCAUGGCUGUCGUCAGCUCGUGUUGUGAAAUGUUGGGUUAAGUCCCGCAACGAGCGCAACCCUUUUCCUUUGUUGCCAGCGGUUAGGAGCCGGGCGCUCAAAGGACACUGCCAGUGAUAAACUGGAGGAAGGUGGGGAUGACGUCAAGUCAUCAUGGCCACUUACGAGUAGGGCUACACACGUGCUACAAUGGCGCAUACAAAGAGAAGCGACCUCGCGAGAGCAAGCGGACCUCAUAAAGUGCGUCGUAGUCCGGAUUGGAGUCUGCAACUCGACUCCAUGAAGUCGGAAUCGCUAGUAAUCGUGGAUCAGAAUGCCACGGUGAAUACGUUCCCGGGCCUUGUACACACCGCCCGUCACACCAUGGGAGUGGGUUGCAAAAGAAGUAGGUAGCUUAACCUUCGGGAGGGCGCUUACCACUUUGUGAUUCAUGACUGGGGUGAAGUCGUAACAAGGUA
rnacentral:rRNA from 1 species